GCUGGUAAACGCUGUAGGUAUAGUAAUAAUUAAUGUAAUAAUAAUAAUAGUAAUAAUUAAUGUAAGUGUGAGUGUCACAGACUUAUUGUAAGUGAUGUAAUUGUGUCACUUAAGGUGGAAUUGAGUAAUUAACCACGCUGUUACAGAUUAAUUAUCACUCAGCUCAGGGGGGUAAUGUAGUGAACUUAGUUUAUUCUACUUUUUGAUGGAGUAACUGUCUUUACAGUCUGGGAAAGUCUUUCUAGUAUAUUUUAGUGAGUGAUGAACUCUGAAGCUACAUGAAGUUUGGAGGUGUGUAGUGAUGAACUCUGAAGCUACAUGAAGUUUAGAGGUGUGUAGUGAUGAACUCUGAAGCUACAUGGAGUUUGGAGGUGUGUAGUGAUGAACUCUGAAGCUACAUGGAGUUUGGAGGUGUGUAGUGAUGAACUCUGAAGCUACAUGAAGUUUAGAGGUGUGUAGUGAUGAACUCUGAAGCUACAUGGAGUUUGGAGGUGUGUAGUGAUGAACUCUGAAGCUACAUGGAGUUUGGAGGUGUGUAGUGAUGAACUCUGAAGCUACAUGAAGUUUGGAGGUGUGUAGUGAGUGAUGAACUCUGAAGCUACAUGGAGUUUGGAGGUGUGUAGUGAUGAACUCUGAAGCUACAUGGAGUUUGGAGGUGUGUAGUGAUGAACUCUGAAGCUACAUGGAGUUUGGAGGUGUGUAGUGAUGAACUCUGAAGCUACAUGAAGUUUGGAGGUGUGUAGUGAUGAACUCUGAAGCUACAUGAAGUUUGGAGGUGUGUAGUGAUGAACUCUGAAGCUACAUGGAGUUUGGAGGUGUGUAGUGAUGAACUCUGAAGCUACAUGAAGUUUGGAGGUGUGUAGUGAUGACCUCUGAAGCUACAUGGAGUUUGGAGGUGUGUAGUGAGUGAUGAACUCUGAAGCUACAUGAAGUUUGGAGGUGUGUAGUGAUGAACUCUGAAGCUACAUGAAGUUUGGAGGUGUGUAGUGAUGAACUCUGAAGCUACAUGAAGUUUGGAGGUGUGUAGUGAUGACCUCUGAAGCUACAUGGAGUUUGGAGGUGUGUAGUGAGUGAUGAACUCUGAAGCUACAUGAAGUAAGCGCCGCCAUCACUGUACUGAUAAUGACAUAGACAUAUAUACACAUAGAAUCCGCAUAGCCUUCUCCUGGUGCCGCCUGCUAACGUUAUGCUAUGUGGGGUCUAUAUAUGUAUAUGUCUA